UUCGCAAUGCCCGAAAGGGUGACGAAGCGACGCCGCGUGGAUGAAGAAGGCCUUCGGGUUGUAAAAUCCUGUCAGGAGUUAAGAAAUGUAGGUGCGAUAAUACCGUGCUUAUUUGACAUAGGCUCCAAAGGAAGCCACGGCUAACUCUGUGCCAGCAGCCGUGCCAAAACACAGUCGCCCCGCGUUGUUCUGAAUUAUUGGGCGUUGCGAGCACGUCCUUGGAUUUGUUCGGAGGUGUGAAAGUCUUUUGUUCAAUGGAAGAAUUGCAUCCGAAACUGAAGACCUUGAGUGUAGGAGGGGCGAAUGCACCUUCCCGCGGACGCUGGAACUGCGUUCAGAUCAGAAGGAACGCCGGGGGCGAAAGCGAUUCUCUGACCUAUUACUGACACUCAGUGAGCGAAAGCUGGGGGAGCUUAAGGAAUUAAAUACCUCGCUCGGCCAAGCCGUAACCGAUGGAACUAUUUCGAGGAGUUUUA
rnacentral:rRNA from 1 species